CGGUCGACCGGCGCACGGGUGAGUAACGCGUAUCCAACCUGCCCACCACUUGGGGGUAACCUUGCGAAAGUAAGACUAAUACCCAAUGAUAUCUCUAGAAGACAUCUGAAAGAGAUUAAAGAUUUAUCGGUGAUGGAUGGGGAUGCGUCUGAUUAGCUUGUUGGCGGGGUAACGGCCCACCAAGGCAACGAUCAGUAGGGGUUCUGAGAGGAAGGUCCCCCACAUUGGAACUGAGACACGGUCCAA
rnacentral:rRNA from 1 species